CCCGACUGCUAUCAGAGUGAGAUUAAGCCAUGCGAGUCAACGUAUGAAUAAUACGUGGCGAACGGCUCAGUAACACGUAGUCAACAUGCCCAGAGGACGUGGAUAACCUCGGGAAACUGAGGAUAAACCGCGAUAGGUCAUAAUUACUGGAAUGUGUUAUGGCCCAAAUCUAUAUGGCCUCUGGAUUGGACUGCGGCCGAUCAGGCUGUUGGUGAGGUAAUGGCCCACCAAACCUUUUACCGGUACGGGCUCUGAGAGGAGGAGCCCGGAGAUGGGCACUGAGACAAGGGCCCAGGCCCUAUGGGGCGCAGCAGGCGCGAAACCUCUGCAAUAGGCGAAAGCCUGACAGGGUUACUCUGAGUGAUUCCCGCUAAGGGAAUCUUUUGGCAUCUCUAAAAAUGGUGCAGAAUAAGGGGUGGGCAAGUCUGGUGUCAGCCGCCGCGGUAAUACCAGCACCCCGAGUGGUCGGGACGAUUAUUGGGCCUAAAGCAUCCGUAGCCGGUCUUGCAAGUCUUCCGUUAAAUCCACCCGCUCAACGGUUGGGCCGCGGGGGAUACUACAGGGCUAGGAGGCGGGAGAGGCAAGCGGUACUCGAUGGGUAGGGGUAAAAUCCACUGAUCCAUUGAAGACCACCAGUGGCGAAGGCGGCUUGCCAGAACGCGCUCGACGGUGAGGGAUGAAAGCUGGGGGAGCAAACCGGAUUAGAUACCCGGGUAGUCCCAGCUGUAAACGAUGCAGACUCGGUGAUGGGCUGGCUUCGUGCCAACCCGGUGCCGCAGGGAAGCCGUUAAGUCUGCCGCCUGGGGAGUACGGUCGCAAGACUGAAACUUAAAGGAAUUGGCGGGGGAGCACCACAARGGGUGAAGCCUGCGGUUC
rnacentral:rRNA from 1 species